rnacentral:rRNA from 1 species
GAUGAACGCUGGCGGCGUGCCUAAUACAUGCAAGUCGAGCGAACGGACGAGAAGCUUGCUUCUCUGAUGUUAGCGGCGGACGGGUGAGUAACACGUGGAUAACCUACCUAUAAGACUGGGAUAACUUCUGGAAACCGGAGCUAAUACCGGAUAAUAUUUUGAACCGCAUGGUUCAAAAGUGAAAGACGGUCUUGCUGUCACUUAUAGAUGGAUCCGCGCUGCAUUAGCUAGUUGGUAAGGUAACGGCUUACCAAGGCAACGAUGCAUAGCCGACCUGAGAGGGUGAUCGGCCACACUGGAACUGAGACACGGUCCAGACUCAAACGGGAGGCAGCAGUAGGGAAUCUUCCGCAAUGGGCGAAAGCCUGACGGAGCAACGCCGCGUGAGUGAUGAAGGUCUUCGGAUCUUAAAACUCUGUUAUUAGGGAAGAACAUAUGUGUAAGUAACUGUGCACAUCUUGACGGUACCUAAUCAGAAAGCCACGGCUAACUACGUG